GGCCCUGCCGGGGCUGGCAGGGCACGGCGUGGCACUGGCGUGGCACUGGGAUGGCACUGGGAUGGCACUGGUGAUGCCUGGCAGGGUCCCCGCUGCUCUCAUGGCUUUCUUGGUGGCGGGGCAUGGAGCACGCUGGGGUCACCGCCAUGGGUUGGAUCUGAGGCACAGCGGUGUCCCCAAGGUCCCCACCCCCUCAGGGCCCUGCCGUGGGUGGGAUGUGGGGCACAGCAGUGUCCCCAAGGUCCCCACCCCCCCAGGGCCCUGCUGGGUGCUGCCACCCCUCUCCCUGCCCUGCCUUCCCCUCUCCACGGCCGCUGUCCCCAGUUCCGGCCCCGUUUGAGCCGCUUGCCUGGCAGGUGUCACCAGCCGGGGGGGAGCUGCCACCAGCGCCCGCUCUGGGGCUGGAGAGGGGAACAGGAGUGGUGGUGGCAGCUGCUGCUGCCCCACAUUCAUCCCUGGCAGGCUCUGAGCUUCCCUGGCGCUUUUUGGCACCGCUGGGCACCUUUGGCAUCGCCGGGCACCGUCCCCAGCCCGGCUGCUCACGGUCAUGGGUCACUGUGACACUGCCUCGGGGACUCCAGCGUGCCCUCCCCGUGUCCAGAGCCGGGGCUGGGCUCCCCACAGGGCACUCCCGAGUUUUCCCAGUCUAGGGGAGGGAUUUGUGGAGCUGCCCCACCUUAAACAUGAGUUUUGGCUCAGCUGGGCGGGGUUUAGAGGGGAGGGAUGGCAUGGGGUCUGCCCUGUGCCCGUGCCCACGCUGGUGUCACCUUCUGUGACCUGGGGGUGUCCAGGGAAGGGCCUGGGGAGUCCUGAGGGAGCUGGGAAGGGUUUGGAGAGUCCUGAGGGAGCUGGGAAGGGUCUGGAGAGUUCUGAGGGAGCUGGGAAGGGUUUGGAGAGUCCUGAGGGAGCUGGGAAGGGUUUGGAGAGUCCUGAGGGGGCUGGGAAGGGUUUGG